rnacentral:rRNA from 1 species
UGAGCAACCUGCCCUUGGCUUCGGGAUAACUCCGGGAAACCGGGGCUAAUACCGGAUGUGACACGCUUCUGCAUGGGGGUGUGUGGAAAGAUUUAUUGGCCAGGGAUGGGCUCGCGGCCUAUCAGCUUGUUGGUGGGGUGAUGGCCUACCAAGGCGACGACGGGUAGCCGGCCUGAGAGGGCGACCGGCCACACUGGGACUGAGACACGGCCCAGACUCCUACGGGAGGCA